rnacentral:tRNA from 1 species
UCCCACGUGGUCUAGUAGUUAGGAUUCGGCGCUUUCACCGCCGCGGCCUGGGUUCGAUUCCCGGCGUGGGAA